CGGAUAGUGGAGGAGUGGUCAUCCUCGCUGGUCUUGGACUCCAGAGAACGCAGGUUCGAACCCUGCCUAUCCGA
rnacentral:tRNA from 1 species